GGGGGCGUUUUGGCUUCGACGGGUGCGUAGAUUUCUACUCUGCAUGUCGAGGUGUCAGUGAUCUCGUAACCUCAUUGGCAAACUAUAAACGACGAAUCUAACUUCGCGUUGGCAGCCUAAGCGCUGCUCGUCGAUUCGAUCCGACUCCUGCUAAGUUCGGACGGCGUUAAAAAAGCAGGGAUGUUCUCACGCAGAGCUUCGGUGUGUGAUGAGCAUUAAUAUCCGCAGCUCGAACUAAGAUUAUCCCGUUCUUCGGAGCUUCUUAGUUUUAAAUUAAAGGAAGAACUACACAUGAAGAUGGGUAGAGAGAAGCCACUCGGACGCGGGUUCGACUCCCGCCGCCUCCACUC
rnacentral:tmRNA from 1 species